rnacentral:rRNA from 1 species
UUUACUUUCUCAGUAACGAAGCUAACGCGUGAAGUUGACCGCCUGGGGAGUACGGCCGCAAGGUUAAAACUCAAAGGAAUUGACGGGGACCCGCACAAGCGGUGGAUGAUGUGGUUUAAUUCGAUGCAACGCGAAAAACCUUACCCACCUUUGACAUGUAUGGAAGAUCGCAGAGACGCGAUUGUGCUCGAAAGAGAGCCAUAACACAGGUGCUGCAUGGCUGUCGUCAGCUCGUGUCGUGAGAUGUUGGGUUAAGUCCCGCAACGAGCGCAACCCUUGCCAUUAGUUGCUACAUUUAGUUGGGCACUCUAAUGGGACUGCCGGUGACAAACCGGAGGAAGGUGGGGAUGACGUCAAGUCCUCAUGGCCCUUAUAGGUGGGGCUACACACGUCAUACAAUGGCUGGUACAAAGGGUUGCCAACCCGCGAGGGGGAGCCAAUCCCAUAAAGCCAGUCGUAGUCCGGAUCGCAGUCUGCAACUCGACUGCGUGAAGUCGGAAUCGCUAGUAAUCGUGGAUCAGAAUGUCACGGUGAAUACGUUCCCGGGUCUUGUACACACCGCCCGUCACACCAUGGGAGCGGGUUCUGCCAGAAGUAGGUAGCCUAACCGUAAGGAGGGCGCUUACCACGGCAGGGUUCGUGACUGGGGUGAAGUCGUAACAAGGUAGCCGUAUCGGAAGGUGCGGCUGGAUCACCUCCUU